CGAACUCAGCUCAGAGUUCCUGAGAGUUCUGAGAAGCCCAGAGAGCCACAUUCUGAAGUCUCCUGGUGAAGAUAAGUGAGGACACGUGGCAUCUGUUUUUAUCUUGCCAGCGAAGUCUUUCUGCUCCUCUCCCUAGCCAGUGCCCUCGGCCUGUCUCCACCACCACAUCUAUGUGGCAGAUGUGUCCUUCAGCCGCCUGGAUGCUCCAGCUGAAAGAGACUCUGAAAGGGCACCAGUAGACCCACCAAACAGCUAACCGAGGAGCCACAGGGCCCAUGCUGGAACUUGUCCCUUUGGAUUUAUUUUAUUUUUUAAAAUUAAUGUAUUACCAUGGA